rnacentral:rRNA from 1 species
GACGAACGCUGGCGGCGUGCUUAACACAUGCAAGUCGAACGGAAAGGCCCUGCUUUUGUGGGGUGCUCGAGUGGCGAACGGGUGAGUAACACGUGAGUAACCUGCCCUUGACUUUGGGAUAACUUCAGGAAACUGGGGCUAAUACCGGAUAGGAGCUCCUGCUGCAUGGUGGGGGUUGGAAAGUUUCGGCGGGUGGGGAUGGACUCGCGGCUUAUCAGCUUGUUGGUGGGGUAGUGGCUUACCAAGGCUUUGACGGGUAGCCGGCCUGAGAGGGUGACCGGCGACAUUGGGACUGAGAUACGGCCCAGACGCCUACGGGAGGCAGCAGGGGGGAAUAUUGCACAAUGGGCGGAAGCCUGAUGCAGCAACGCCGCGUGCGGGAUGACGGCCUUCGGGUUGUAAACCGCUUUCGCCUGUGACGAAGCGGGAGUGACGGUAAUGGGUAAAGAAGCACCGGCUAACUACGUG